AUAUGCAGAAAAAAUAAUGUUUGAUCAUCAUCAAAAGCCAGAUAUUUCAAAGUUUCAUCUAUGAAAUAUCUGGCUUUCCCAUCAUAGCAGAUGAAAUACGUAUUUUGCAUUAAAUUGCAUCAUUUCGCCUCCUGAAGGGCUCGCAAUGAGUCCACUGUGUGUAUAUAUAUGUAUUUCUUUUCCCUAUGGUAAUAAUACUUUUAGAUAAAUACUAAGUACUUUUCCACUACUGAUGUAUAUAAAGUAAAAUUAGGCUGUAAAGUUAAAUCUUACUUUAGAUAAAUCUUGGUAUGUGCUUUUAUAAUGUGUACUAAAUUGUAGUAAAACAUGUCAGGGUUCCUUUGUUUCAUGUGUUCUGGCCAGUACACUAAGCCUGAGCCUGAGUGAGAGCUGAGCAGAGAAUUGUAGCUCACUCUGCUCCCAACUUAACUGAUGCCCUGCACCUCCCCCAUAGCUGCUGCAGUGGGGGAGGGGCAGGUAAAUGUUUCCAGCACUUUGGCAGGUCUGAAGGCAAAAGAGAGUCCAAACCAGGACUAGCAAAGUGUACCUAAUAUAGCUGUUUAGUGUGUGUGUAAAAUAAAUAAAUAAUAUGGUAAUGGCUCUUUCCACUACUGAUAUAUAUAAAGUUUAAUUAGACUGUAAAACUAAAUCUUACUUUAGAUAAAUUUUAUUUUGUGAUUUCAUAAUGUGUACUAAACUGUAGUUAAAAUAAAUGUCAGGAUUCCUUUAUUUCACAUAUUGUAGCCUGUAAAUCAGGUUUGAGAGUCAGAGCUGAGGAGAAAACUUUGGCUCUCUCUGCUCCUCCAUCAGUGACCCUCCCCCCGCGCACCUGCACUGCAGCUCUCAAACUUUUGCAGGGCAUGUGACGUCAUUCAGUCCACAGUCGGAGUAGCCGUUUAAGUGGAGCUCUGAAGACUGCAAAGCACGCUUUCUGCAGGUGAAGGAAGCCACGGCAGCAAGCCAAAUACAGACGAUAACGUGGCGCUCGCAUGCAGUGAUAAUGGCUGUUCUGAUAGUGGUGUUUUUUGUGACUCCAGAUGGCUAAUAUUUGACAUAGCAGCUACUCCGUGUCCCCCAGAGAAAUGAAAAAGGAGGAGGCAGUGAGAUGGAUGAAGGUGGAAGUUCUGAGCAUUUCUCCUCUCAAAAGAGACCGGAGCCCACCAGUG